rnacentral:piRNA from 1 species
UCUCCACAGUCAUGUCUCCAUUCACACA